GUAUGUAUUUUAUUUAAAGAUUAUAUUUCCUAAAACUCGGUUAAAUUCGGUGUUCAAUGUUUUAAUCGUUGAUAUAUUUUGUUCCAGCUUGGCCCAAAAUAUGAUUAACCUAGCUUCCUAUGCGCCGGUAAUGGCGGCAUAACCUUUUCACCUCUUUCAAACCAACUUGCAAUUCCUUGACAAAGAUGAGACAUCAUCUUGUUUCACCGCGUGGGCCUACGUCGCCACGUCUGGUGUCUAAUAUAAGGGACUCGGCUUAGAAACCGGUAAGGAUUUUUUAAUCUCAUUAUUUCCGCAAGCUAAAUCGCGCGUUGUCCCAAUUAAAUAUAAAUAUAACUUUUUAUAACAUAACCUCUCUAAAACCUAGAACAUUCUCUUUGUUUCUAGGGUCCUUUGGCUAGGCCUGUCUUUUGGCUGGGCCUAUCUCUUCCCUUGGCUCUUGGCCCUAUGGCUUUUGGAAGAUCUAGGGUGGUGUCGCACCAUGCUAGAGGGGAAGCCGUCUUCUCCACUUAAUUUUUGGACUCGAGGUGAAGUGUUCAUUCGAUAAAACUGUGAGUUAAAAACUUAUAUUUACAUUAGUGACUGUGUUCCCUUUGCUGGAAAGGAUAAACAAUAUUUAAGUCUGAAUUUCUUUUUAACGUGAACUUUCUACAUGGUAAAUUCUAUUAUUAAUAUGAAACCUGCAAUUCCUAUGUAGGAUUUUGUGUGUAUUACAGGCCCAAAUAUGCCUGAGAUGUACUUAAGUUAAAUUUAAUUAGUAAUAGUUACGGUACGUAAUUUAAAUGUUAAGUCUCGAGGCCGCAGCAGGUCUUAUUGUGAUGUAAAGUGAAUAAAAGUAUUUAGUAAAUAAA